AACGAACGCUGGCGGCAUGCCUAACACAUGCAAGUCGAACGAGACCUUCGGGUAUAGUGGCGCACGGGUGCGUAACGCGUGGGAACCUGCCCUUAGGUUCGGAAUAACUCCCCGAAAGGGGUGCUAAUACCGGAUAAUGUCUUCGGACCAAAGAUUUAUCGCCUUUGGAUGGGCCCGCGUUGGAUUAGCUAGUUGGUAGGGUAAAAGCCUACCAAGGCGACGAUCCAUAGCUGGUCUGAGAGGAUGAUCAGCCACACUGGGACUGAGACACGGCCCAGACUCCUACGGGAGGCAGCAGUGGGGAAUAUUGGACAAUGGGCGAAAGCCUGAUCCAUCAAUGCCGCGUGAGUGAUGAAGGCCUUAGGGUUGUAAAGCUCUUUUACCCGGGAUGAUAAUGACAGUACCGGGAGAAUAAGCUCCGGCUAACUCCGUG
rnacentral:rRNA from 1 species